GAUGAACGCUAGCGGCAGGCCUAAUACAUGCAAGCUGAACGGUAAAUGUUAUAGCAAUAUGAUAUGAGAGUAGCGUAAGGGUGCGUAACACGUAUGCAAUCUGCCCGCAACAGGCGGAUAGCUCCCCGAAAGGGGAAUUAAUACUCCAUAAUAUCACGAGAGGGCAUCUGAUUGCGAUUAAACUCCAAGGGGUUGCGGAUGAGUAUGCGUCUGAUUAGUUAGUUGGGGAGGUAACGGCUCACCAAGACGAUGAUCAGUAGGGGAACUGAGAGGUUGAUCCCCCACACUGGCACUGAGAUACGGGCCAGACUCCUACGGGAGGCAGCAGUAGGGAAUAUUGGUCAAUGGGUGAGAGCCUGAACCAGCCAUGCCGCGUGCAGGAAGACGGCCUUCUGGGUUGUAAACUGCUUUUGUCAGGGGAUAAAAUACCCGUGCGCGGGGAAUUGAAGGUACCUGAUGAAUAAGCCACGGCUAACUACGUGCCAGCAGCCGCCGUAAUAC
rnacentral:rRNA from 1 species